UUGCAUGAUUAGUCUAUUUUUAACUUAUUUGGUCUUUUUUGGGGUUGAAUGAUAAUAUCCAAUUUUUGCAUGUCUUACAUAGCAUAUUUAAGCGUAUGAAAUCAUUAGAAUUUGACAAAAUGUCGUUCUAAGUUAAUUUAAAAUCUUAAGUUUGGAACAAUUUUCUGCACUUCAGAAAACGUAAUAAACAUUUGGUAUCAAUACCAUAAAAAAUAUCGAUAACAUAUUAGGGUUUUAUGAUAUUGCACCGUGUUUUUUAAACAUAAAACAAUUUUUCCCCAAACUUUUUUCUCAUCCGUUUUUCAUUCUCAAAACCCCUAACACUCAAAAUCUCAAAUCUUCCAUUUCUUUUUCUUCAUAAUCCCUACACAAAACAACUCCUAUUAUCAUUUUCAUCAAGGAUUACACAAGGUUGCUCAAGGAUUUCACCAUUUUAAAACACAUUUUGAGAUUAUUGGUGGAUCGAUUGCUUUAAGUCGAACAGGCCCUUCUCAUGUAUAACGACAUUACCAAAUCUAUUGGGAGAGACCUAGGUAGCUCUAUAACCUUACCAUUUGGGACCUGUCUUUUUUUUUUUUUUUUUCCCAUUUGGGCAUCAAUACUCGUGUCAAUACCCCCAUCCGAAGACAUCAACCUAUCGGUAUUGGGGCUCUUCAUCAUGCCAAGUACAAGCAAAAUCCCUCUACUGGAGAAUGAGAGAAAGAAGGCCAAGCGACGCGUCAUGAUGAUGAAGACCUUGGAGUUGAUCUUGAUGAUAUUCCACCUCCUGCCAAGCAGGCUUCUUCACCGGCAUCUUCAUCCGCUCAACCAUCUGCUCUGUCUCACUCUGGCAACAUGUUUGCUGCCAUCCUUGGUGCUAUUACUUCCUUGAGUGAGGAGUUUAGUGGUUUUCGUACUUGUGUAGAUGACGCUUUUGAUUGAGUAAAUAAUAAUGUUGGUAAUCUAGGCUCUAAGAUAAAGACUUUGGAGGAGCAAAUGACUCAACUUCUUGCUCACUUUCCUCCAUUGGAUCCUUCAUCAUCACCUAGGAUGAUUAGUUUAGACCAUUCAUACGUUUGCAUCAUGCAUCUUUUAAUUUGUUAAUGCCCUCUUCUAUUGUCCUACUUUAAUUUGGGAUAUUAUCAUGUUUAUUCUUAAUGUUAGUUCGUUGUUUUCAUAA